rnacentral:rRNA from 1 species
AUUGAACGCUGGCGGCAUGCCUUACACAUGCAAGUCGAACGGCAGCGCGGGGCAACCUGGCGGCGAGUGGCGAACGGGUGAGUAAUAUAUCGGAACGUACCCUGGAGUGGGGGAUAACGUAGCGAAAGUUACGCUAAUACCGCAUACGAUCUAAGGAUGAAAGUGGGGGAUUCGCAAGAACCUCAUGCUCCUGGAGCGGC